GAGUAUACAGAUCAGGUCCCCAC
rnacentral:piRNA from 1 species